GACGAACGCUGGCGGCGUGCCUAAUACAUGCAAGUAGGACGCAGUUGCGAACGGGUGAGCAACGCGUAGGUAACUACCUAUUAGAGGGGGAUAACUAUUGGAAACGAUAGCUAAUACCGUAUACUAGUAGAUGGACCUGCGUUGUAUUAGCUAGUAGGUAGGGUAAUGGCCUACCUAGGCAACGAUACAUAGCCGACCUGGGAGGGUGAACAGGCAACCUGGGGCUGAGACACGGGCCAGACUCCGACGGGAGGCAGCAGUAGGGAAUCUUCGGCAAUGGGGGGAACCAUGACCGAGCAACGCCGCGUGAGGGAAGAAGGUUUUCGGAUCGUAAAGCUCUGUUGUUAAGGAAGCGGUACUUAACCAGAAAGGGACGGCUAACUACGUGCCAGCAGCCGCGGUAAUAC
rnacentral:rRNA from 1 species